rnacentral:rRNA from 1 species
AGCGAACGCUGGCGGCAGGCCUAACACAUGCAAGUCGAGCGGCCGUAGCAAUACGGCAGCGGCAGACGGGAGAGUAACACGUGGGAACGUACCUUUCAGUUCGGAACAACCCAGGGAAACUUGGGCUAAUACCGGAUACGCCCGUAAGGGGAAAGAUUUAUCGCUGAAAGAUCGGCCCGCGUCUGAUUAGCUAGUUGGUGAGGUAAUGGCUCACCAAGGCGACGAUCAGUAGCUGGUCUGAGAGGAUGAUCAGCCUCACUGGGACUGAGACACGGCCCAGACUCCUACGGGAGGCAGCAGUGGGGAAUAUUGGACAAUGGGCGCAAGCCUGAUCCAGCCAUGCCGCGUGGAUGAUGAAGGCCCUAGGGUUGUAAAGUCCUUUCGGCGGGGAAGAUAAUGACGGUACCCGCAGAAGAAGCCCCGGCUAACUUCGUGCCAGCCGCCGCAGUAA